ACCUUGACAUAUCAGUCCUGAUUUACUGCACCUUACAAGAAUUUAGAGGGAAGGUUGGAGACAUUCUUUUCCAACUGGGAAGUACUGAAUGGAAUUGCUGUGAAGUACUGCUUCAUCAGUAUUCAGGAGAGUGAUGUUCACUACAGCUGGUUGAGAGAUGCUGCUUCUGCUCGAGAGGACACCAAAUUGACCGAGUAUACUAAAGAAAGAAGAAAAAGAGGGAGAGAGUGAAAACAGGACUUGGAUGAUAUUUCUUGGUGUCUGCCAAUAUCUAACAUGCUUUUGGAAAAGUUGUGUAACAGAACCUACCAAGAGAGCCCAGUUUGAAUAGAGCCUAUAGGGAUCAAGAAGCUGUCCUCUGAAUGCAUGCCUGACUUGAAUUUGCCAUCAGUUUACCAGCAGCACUAUUAUUCUUAAGCCUAUAGGACACUUUGAGUGAUGGAAAGCCUUGAAUGUUAUCUUUUAUGAAGGAGAGUCUUUGCCUCCAGUGAUCAAACAUACAGGUACAAUGUCAGGCAACUUGCAAUAUGAAGUGUUAUGUUAGAAAUAAUUAA